AACGAACGCUGGCGGCGCGCUUAACACAUGCAAGUCGAACGAGAAGCUGUAGCAAUACAGUUGUACAGUGGCGAACGGGUGAGGAAUACAUGGGCAACCUACCCUCGAGCGGGGAAUAACCAGCCGAAAGGUUGGCUAAUACCGCGUACGCUUCCGGGUCUGCGGAUUCGGAAGGAAAGCCAUGCCGUGGGUAUGGCGCUCAAGGAUGGGCUCAUGUCCUAUCAGCUUGUUGGUGAGGUAACGGCUCACCAAGGCAACGACGGGUAGCUGGUCUGGGAGGACGAUCAGCCACACUGGCACUGCGACACGGGCCAGACUCCUACGGGAGGCAGCAGUGAGGAAUAUUGCGCAAUGGGCGAAAGCCUGACGCAGCGACGCCGCGUGGGGGAUGAAGGUCUUCGGAUUGUAAACCCCUUUCGGGAGGGAAGAUGGGACGAGCAAUCGUUCGGACGGUACCUCCAGAAGCAGCCACGGCUAACUUCGUGCCAGCAGCCGCCGUAAUAC
rnacentral:rRNA from 1 species